GAUGAAGAACGUUGCGAAAUGCGAUACGUAAUGUGAAUUGCAAAUUCAGUGAAUCAUCGAGUCUUUGAACGCACAUUGCGCCCCCUGGUAUUCCGGGGGGCAUGCCUGUCCGAGCGUCAUUGCUGCCCUCAAGCACGGCUUGUGUGUUGGGCCCCGUCCUCCGAUCCCGGGGGACGGGCCCGAAAGGCAGCGGCGGCACCGCGUCCGGUCCUCGAGCGUAUGGGGCUUUGUCACCCGCUCUGUAGGCCCGGCCGGCGCUUGCCGAUCAACCCAAAUUUUUUAUCCAGGUUGACCUCGGAUCAGGUAGGGAUACCCGCUGAACUUAAGCAUAUCAAUAAGCGGAGGA
rnacentral:misc_RNA from 1 species